rnacentral:rRNA from 1 species
UACAGAGGGUGCGAGCGUUGUCCGGAAUUACUGGGCGUAAAGGGCGCGUAGGCGGCUUGGCAAGUCGGGGGUGAAAGUCAGCGGCUCAACCGCUGGACUGCCUUCGAGACUGCCUGGCUUGAGCAUGGUAGAGGCUGGCGGAAUUCCCGGUGUAGCGGUGGAAUGCGUAGAGAUCGGGAAGAACAUCGGUGGCGAAGGCGGCCAGCUGGGCCGUUGCUGACGCUGAUGCGCGACAGCGUGGGGAGCAAACAGG